rnacentral:rRNA from 1 species
UAACGCGUGGGUAACCUGCCUCGUACAGGGGGAUAACAGCUAGAAAUGACUGCUAAUACCGCAUGAGCGCACAGUGCUGCAUGGCACAGUGUGAAAAACUCCGGUGGUAUGAGAUGGACCCGCGUCUGAUUAGCUAGUUGGUGGGGUAACGGCCUACCAAGGCGACGAUCAGUAGCCGGCCUGAGAGGGUGAACGGCCACAUUGGGACUGAGACACGGCCCAA